UUAAUUUCAAUUUACAUUUUUUGUAGCUCAAAAAUAAUAAUAAAAAAAUGUUAAAUUAGAAAUGAAGAUCAGCAUCAAUUAACCCGCCCCUUCUCACACAUGGCAUGGCGGGCCAAAUCAAGUCACCACGGGCCAACUUUGGCCCACAGCCCGUAGUUUGGGCAUCUCUGUUCUAACUGUUGUAGUAGCACAUAGUCAUUUGAACUAAUGUGACAUUAGCACAAAGUCAUUCAAAAGAGUGUUCUAGUAGCACAUAGACAUUGAAAAGAAUGUUCUAGCAGCAUGGAAUACAACACACACACACACACACACACACACACACGGCUAUAGCGGAGCCUAUAGUCACGCGCGCUGUGCUUUACACGGCCCCCAACGCGCUCUGCUUCCGAUACUACACACACCACUCGACAGCUGCCAAGACAUCAGGCUCGUUCCCAAGGCUCCUCUUUAACUCGGCCCAGAACGCAUACGACGGCCGUGCCUGCUUUUCGCCGGUUUUUACACACCACAUCGCACCAAAUGCGCAGCCCGCCGGCUUGAGCACAACGCGCGCCGCGCCUUUUCAUGUGCGCUGCGCGAGACUGUUGCUCUCUAGCCGGCCAGGCCGGGCCACGGGAGACACGAGAAAGCCCGUCCUCGCUCAGCGUGUGCUUCAACGUUUUGAAUCUCGUCUUGCGAGUGGGAUUUUCACCGAGAAAUGCCACGAGAAAACACAUCUGAGCGCGCGCCGCGUCCGUGCAUUCAUUCAGCGGCGCCCCGAGUUGAGUCUACAACGCUCUCAUAUCUGUUUUUAAGACCAGCCCCCGGCCCCGGGGAGGGAGGAUCAUCCUGUGUUACACACUAACGUACAGCGUACGACUCGUGUAUUCUACGCAGUUCCAAGAGAGAUGGCAGAAGUCGCACCCGCUCCCGCCGCAGCGCCGGCCAAAGCGCCCAAGAAGAAAGCAGCUUCGAGAGCAAAAAAAGCCGGCCCUAGCGUCGGCGAACUGAUCGUCAAAGCCGUUUCCUCGUCUAAGGAGAGGAGCGGCGUGUCUCUCGCUGCCCUGAAGAAAGCGCUGGCUGCCGGCGGAUACGAUGUGGAGAAGAACAACUCCCGCGUCAAGAUCGCCGUUAAGGGUCUCGUGACUAAAGGCACUCUGGUGCAGACCAAAGGGACCGGCGCGUCUGGCUCUUUCAAGCUGAACAAGAAGCAGACCGAAGCCAAGAAGCCCGUGAAGAAAGCCGCGCCCAAAGCGAAAAAGCCCGCCGCCAAAAAGCCCGCCGCUACUAAGAAGCCCAAGAAGGUAGCGGCCAAGAAACCCGCCGCCGCGGCCAAGAAGGCGAAGAAGCCCACAGCCGCCGCAAAGAAAGCCACCAAGAGCCCGAAGAAGGCGAAAAAGCCCGCGACCCCUAAAAAGGCAGCCAAGAGCCCCAAGAAAGCGAAAGCUGUCAAGCCCAAGACCACAAAGCCUAAAGCGGCAAAGGCGAAGAAGGCAGCACCCAAAAAGAAGUCAGUCUCCCCGGCGCGCGCGCACAGACAUAUGUAGUCAAAUCGGAGGAGCGAGCCAUAAGAUCUGUUAUGACGUCACGUUCAGAGUUCUGUAAGUUUCCUGAUGGUAUGCUUGACGGUUGUUCCCUUUAUGACGCCGCGAAUGUCGAGGUUUUUAAACGUUGUGGUAUCAGAGCGGGCCUCUGUAUUCAUUUGAACGGAGUAGUAUUUAAUCAUUGGUCUAUCUAACCUUUUCAUGUGCUUAGUUUCUUUGUUUGUUCAUCUGUCGUGUUUAAGAAUGGACAUGGAAAUAAUAUAUCCAGAUAUCUGUACAGCUGCUUUGUGACAAUGUAAACUUAAAAAAAAAAAAAAAAAACAUUUCCAUGUCUAGAGAAUAGGGUAUGUUCUUUAAAAAAAUAAAUCAUAAUGAUGAUGCUGUUAAACAUUUCAGAAGCUCCGUGUAUUGUCCUUGAUACGUGAAAACUAGACAAUGCACAGUAAUAACGCUGAUGAGCUGCGUCAGUGUAAAAUAGCCCAAAGCUACCUUCUGUUUCAGGCGGCGUUGUGCUGGAUGGAGCUUGACUGCCCUCGUGUGUCCAAACUCAGGAACGGCAGUUUCCCUGAAGGGGUAUUCUGUUCCAAGUUUUGUGAUCUGGAUGUUCAGCUGGUCUCAGAUCAAGCAUCCUCCUCUGUACUGACUCCACUAUCCCCAGCUUCAUCCCAUUCAUUAGAUUCCACAAUUGUCCUGGAGUCCACACGAAAGAGUAGGAACCCAACAGGGUUAAUGGAGCAGAAUGAAGCAAGACAGAAAGUUGAUUGUGUUCUGAGGGCCAAUCCAAAGGGUGAGGAAAUCUUCAAGGAGUAUGAAAAGACCAAAACACUAACAUGUCUGCAACCAGGACGUUCACCGUCUGUUUACGUGUGGCAUAUGUUAGAGCUACAUGGGUAAGAAUUGGAGGUCACUUCCCUCCCUUUAUCAUCACAACAGAUUCAUGUGGCACAGAUAAAGAAUGCUAUUCUGUGUUGCUAUAAAAGGAGAAUUUAUCCUUUAACUUCUUGCAAAACAUACACACUUGCAAAGUAAAUUGAUUUAUUUUGAAAGGAUGAUUCCAUGGUCAAGUGUGAAGACCAGUUAUGCACUGGGAAUUGUGACACUUUUUCCAUACCUCCAAGAUCCUUUCUCCAAACAUGGAUAUGAACACUACUAUGAUCCUGAGGGUAAUACUGGCUUCAUUGCAUGGAGGAUCAAGACAGUUCAACAUAACACCUGUGCUGGCUCCCGGUGUUAUUCCAAGACUGUUCUUCAGGAUGGUCCAAAAAACAGACAAGAAUCUCUCUUAACUUGUCAACAGCGAUUUGGUGAGGAGUGCAGGGAGGCGAUAUCUACAAUACGACAUUUCACUGAUGAGAAGAUGAGCGACUUUCCAGUAUUGACCGAAGAUGGUCGGUGAGGAUGCAUCAUCUUCUGUCCUGGAUUUGUUCACUCGUUUCCUUGCUGUAUCCGGAUUGAUCUACCACGAUUUCUCCAUGAUGUUUGGUGACAAAGUGUCUCAGAAGUUCCUGGCAAUGUGGUCAAUAUUCUUCAAGCCAAAAAUCAUUGCAGACUGCAAGACUCUUAAGAAUAUGGGCGAGCUGCUGUCAGGAACUGAACCUGAAUCUGAGGACUACAAUGCUGCAUCUGCUCCCUCUAACCUCAAGAGGCCAGAAAAAAAUAUCCAAGAUCAGUUCAGCUCAAGCAACCAGCCA